AAGAUGUUAAAUGCCUCUGUGUCUGUCUAUAUAUGUUGUUUGUCUGUAGGCAUUGAAUGUUUGCCAUAUAUGUGUUCAUUGUAAUCCGCCCUGAGUCCCCUUCGGGGUGAGAAAGAAGGGCAGGAUAUAAAUACUGUAAAUAAAUAAAUAAAUAAAUAAAUAAGGAGAAAAGGAAAGCCAGUCAAGCGUGAUGAGCGAAGGUUUUCUUCCCUGCAUCUCAAGAGAAGCAAUGAAGGAGCAGGACAGGGUUACAACCAGCAUCCUCUGCGCAACAGCGUAAAACCAAAAGGUGGGAUGUUGUGCAGAACAGGUGGGCAUAACAUCCUACGCAUGAUAAUGUAAAACAAGGGAGAUAUUGUCACGUCAGCUUUAAAGAGAAAGGUGGGAUAUUGAGAAUAUCAGUGAUGCGUAACAUCCUGUGCGUAACUAUAUAAAUCAUGUGGGAUGUUGUGCGUAACAGUUGGGCAUAACAUCCUAUGUGUGAUAAUGUAAAACGGGAGCUAUUGCAACAUCAGCGUGAAAGAGAAAGGUGGGAUAUUGAGAGUAUCAGUGAUGCGUAAUAUCCUGUGCGUAACUCUAUAAAACAGGUGAGAUAUGGGGUGCAACAGUUGGGCAUAACAUCCUAUGCGUGAUAAUGUAAAACGGGAGCUAUUGUAACGUCAGCGUGAAAGAGAAAGGUGGGCUCGGGCUGUGGUGCAGGCUGGAGAGCAGCUGCAAUGAAUCACUGCAAUGAAUCACUCUGACCAGGAGGUCAUGAGUUCGAGGCCCGCUCGGAGCCUAUGUUUGUUUUGUCUUUGUUCUAUGUUAAAAGGCAUUGAAUGUUUGCCUAUAUGCGUAAUGUGAUCCGCCCUGAGUCCCCUUCGGGACUCAGGAAUAUAAAUACUGUAAAUAAAUAAAUAAAUAUUGAGAAUAUCAGUGAUGCGUAACAUCCUGUGCGUAACUAUAUAAAACAGGUGGGAUGUUGUGAGUAACAGUUGGGCAUAACAUCCUAUGCGUGAUAAUGUAAAACAGGGUAUCUAUUGCAACGUCAGCGUGAAAGAGAAAGGUGGGAUAUUGAGCGUAUCAGUGAUGCAUAAUAUCCUGUGCGUAACUAUAUAAAACAGGUGGGAUGUUGUGUGUAACAGUUGGGCAUAACAUCCUAUGUGUGAUAAUGUAAAACGGGAGCUAUUGCAACAUCAGCGUGAAAGAGAAAGGUGGGAAUCAGCGUGAAAGAGAAAGGUGGGAUAUUGAGAAUAUCAGUGAUGCAUAACAUCCUGUGCGUAACAUAAUAAAUCAGGUGGGAUAUUGGGUGCAACAGUUGGGCAUAACAUCCUAUGCGUGAUAAUGUAAAACGGGUGCUAUUGUAACCUCAGCGUGAAAGAGAAAGGUGGGAUAUUGAGUGUAUCUGAGAUGCGUAACAUCCUGUGCGUAACUAUAUAAAACAGGUGGGAUGUGGUGCGUAACAGUUGGGCAUAACAUCCUAUGCGUGAUAAUGUAAAACAGGAGCUAUUGUAACGUCAGCGUGAAAGAGAAAGGUGGGAUAUUGAGCGUAUCAGUGAUGCGUAACAUCCUGUUCGUAACUAUAUGAAACAGGGGAUGUUGUGCAUAACAGUUUGGCAUAACAUCAUAUGCAUGAUAACGUAAAACGGGAGGUAUUGUAACGUCAGCGUGAAAGAGUAAGGUGGCAUAUUGAGAGUAUCAGUGAUGCGUAACAUCCUGUGCGUAACUAUAUAAAUCAGGUGGGAUAUUGGGUGUAACAGUUGGGCAUAGCAUCCUAUGCGUGAUAAUGUAAAACAGGAGCUAUUGUAAAGUCAGCAUGAAAGAGUAAGGUGGCAUAUUGAGAGUAUCAGUGAUGCGUAACAUCCUGAUACUAAAACAGGUUGGAUAUUGGGCGUAACAUCCUGUGCUUAAAGGUGUAAAACAGAAAAGUGGCAUAUUGUUGUGUUCCUGUCCUGUUUUGCCUUUCAAGAACAGCCUUAAAACACUGUGGAAAGUAAAUGAAAACUGCUUUACUUCAGCAAAACAUAAAGUACAGCACACUCAGUGAAAUAAUGCAAAAGGAAGCAAGGAAGUCUUAGGGCAAGCACAGUUCUUAGUCUCUGAUAAAUUCCCAAAACAAAUAGCAGUCUUACCUCAGAAAAAGAAACAGCAAUAAAUCCUUGGGAGCAGUUUCCCAGAUGCAGACUUGAAGCAGGCACAAGGGGAGCAAAGAGUCAGUUUGUUACCAGGAAGAGCUGGCUGCAUCUGCUUCUGCUUUAUAGCAGGGCAGUUCUAAAUUACUCAAUUGCAUUUCUGGCAGCUAUUCUAGCGGAACGACGUCUCUGCCCUGUUUCCUUUCGCCUCUCCUGAAAUGUGGGUACUUGCAAAAUCUCCUCCUCAGAUUCCAACUCACCCUCAGAUUCAUGAACACUUUCCUGCUCCCCUUCCUCUUCUGAAGAUAGAGGAACCCCCAAAAAUUCCAAGCUCUCCUGGUGUCAAGGGCUGAAGUUUAAUUAAAAAAACACAAGGUAAGCCAAGACUGAGAAGAAUCUAGUUUGAGUCUUCAAAUUGUAGCUCACAGACAGAGUAAGGAUGAACACAAGCCAAGGUCAAGAGUCCAACUAAUUGUUGUAUCCCAGCCUGCAUCUGAACUGUCAGGUGAGCCUGAGGUUGGGCCUGUUCAGCCUGUGAUUGUACCUGCACCCAACCUGUCACAUGAAUCUGGGUUGGGGCCUAGGAUUCCUAUACAGCCAGAGGUAGAUGAUUUUGUACAGUCAGAGUUAGAUGAAGCUGCUGUUCCUAAGGAUUCUGGGAGCAGGCAUACAAUGGUUUCAAGCAAGGAGCUUGAACUGCAUUCCUUGGGAGAGUUAAGGUUGAGUUAUCCCUUUGCAGAUGGGCAUUCCAUUCUUGAUAGGAAUAAGGAGGUUGACAGAAGGAAAGCAAUAUGUCAACAGAGACAAGAAAGGGAGGUUUUGAGACUGAGCAGACAGUUGCUAAUGAGAAAAGGUUUUGAGCAAACUUCCCACGAUGUGAUGUCUCAUGGGCCAUGUAGUCCCCUUCCUAGUAUUAUUGUGGCAGACGAAGAGGAAAACUUGGGUUUCCCACCGUCUCAGCCAGAAUUGGAGCCUCUGCACCUGCAAGAUGUUUGCCCACAAGAAGUCAGCCAAACAAGCCUUGAGCAGAAAUCUCCCCCGUUCUCUCGCCGGGAUAAUUAUAAUCGAGAUAGAGGCGCUAGGGAGGCGAAUCGCCGAAGCGCCAGAAUCGCUGCCAGACAAUUAGCUGAUUAAGCCUGUUUCCCUUGGGAAAUCUUAAGGAGUCAUGCAUCUGGACAUAGUAUGGGUUUCACUUCUUGUUCCCCAGGGAAAGUGUUCCUUGGCGGGAAAAGGAAAUCCUAUAUAGGUGUUUGCCCGCAAGGAAAUCCUUGCGGAGUCAAUUCGUCAGCUUCAGGAAUAAGAUCGUGUGUGGACUACGCUACUCCAGUUCCUUGUUUCCAGGACCAAGUUUCAUGCCUUGUUCCCCGGACCCUGUUCUAGUUCCAAGCCUGCCUUGUUCUCCGGACCUCGCCACGGACCUUGUUCUUGCUUCUUGCUUCUUGUUGCCACGUAUCAAGCCUUGUUUGCCAAGAAUCUAGUUUGUUCCCCAGCCUUGCUGUCAAGCUCCAUUGGACUAAAGGACCUUGUCAUUUCCCCACAUUUGCUCGGCAAGUGUGUGUUUCGGUUAUUGGAUUAUAACUUUGGACUCUAAUAUCACAUAUUGGACAUUGUUUUCCUGGACUAUAGUUGACCUUUCCUGAAAGGACUAUUUCUGAACUAUAUUCUUCACUUGUUUUUAUUGACUUUAUAUAUUCCUUUAAUAAAGAUAUUAGAUAGAUUCUGGUCUCUGCGCAUGGUUAUUGGUGCUCUGCAGCCUGGGUCCUGACACACGGAAAGAGGCCUUGAUUCUAGUUUUAAGAGGAACUGCUUCUGAGAGAGAAUUCAGAGGUGGUAACUUUUCUCACCGAGAGGUUUGUUCUUGCUUCAUGGACUCUUGUUUCAUGUUACCUUUGGACUGUGUGCCUUCAAGGAAUAUCUGCCUUCCUCUGAGGCUAACAGAGUGUGACUUUCUCAGGGUCUCCCAAUGGGUUCCCAUGGCUGAGCAGGGAUUUGAACUCUGGUCUCCUUGGAAUGCCCGGGCGUUGGAUCUUUGCUCAGCUGUGAAGACAUCUGAAGCAACUCUUAUCUGAGGAAAGGAGUCACUUGGGCUGCAUCUACACUGGAGGAUUAAUGCAGUUUGAUACCACUUUCGCUGCUGUGGCUCAAGCCUCUGGAAUGACGAUUCCUCCAUAGCCCCCCAUAGACUCUACCCAAUAGGCAUGUCCGAUCAAUGAAAAAAAUGUUUCAAUUCUCGUUUCUAAAGUAGGGGGCGCUGGCACUUCGAUAUAGAAAGUAUUUCUGAUUUUUUCACCCAAAAAUUUCGGAUAUUUCCGAAAAUUCGUAAUGAUUCUAAAUGUUUCUAAAAUGGGGGACGCGCAUGCGCAAUUGCUACACACCGGGCUUGUAUGGCAAUCUUCCAUGUGGACGCAGAGGACAUUAGCCCCCACCUUUGCGUCCAUCGUGGAAGCUUCUGAUUGGCCGGGGAGCGGCAGCCAUGUUAGGCUGCGCUAAGCUCCCAUUCAAAGUAGGGGGGGGGAAUUAACGAAACAUUAAGAGACAAUUAGAGAACGGGCCAACAAUGGUUCGAAUUACAUUGCUGGUUGCGCUGUGAGACAAUGUCUCGGAAUGCGUAUCAAAAAGCGAGAACAAUCCGAAAUAAUUCCGAUAUAUGAUUCAAAACGAUUUUUUGGACAUGUCUACUACCCAAUAUUGAUAGUGUAUAUAUGGAAAUUCAAGCAGAAACACACGUCUUCCCCAAAAGCCUCACACAAAGCGGAGAGGUUGUGCUCCUCCCACCAAACUGCCCCCCCCCCAAAGCUGAUAAAAAUGGCAAAAAGGAGCAAUUCCCCGAAUCAGGAAUGGCUUCCAGGUAUUCUGGAAGUGGGCCCGUGUUUGUGGGUCACUUGCUGCUCCCUCCCUCCUCCAACAAAGAGCCCACAGAAACGGCUCACAAAGGGGCGCAAAGAGAGCUAUCAGGCCGUGCCUCCCACACUUGCAGCUGGCUGCACACGCCGAUUUUAAAAAAUACAUUGCAUGUGGGUCUUAUUUCACCCACCCAGAAAGCCAAAUAAAUAAAUACACAGAAAAAGAGAGCGAGGGACUCAGGUGCCAUUGGUCCCGUGGAAGACCUGGGAAAAUGAGGAUUUCGGGUGGAUGCCGGAACUUCAAGACCCAGAUGUGGGAAGUAUAACUGACCUAUGAGGAUUUAUUUAUUUUUCCGUGUCAGGAGCAACCGGAGAGAAUUGCUUCUGGAGUGAGAGAAUUGGCCGUCUGCAAGGACGUUGCCCAGGGGACGCCUGGAUGUUUUGAUGUUUUUACCAUCCUUGUGGGAGGCUUCUCUCAUGUCCCUGCCUGGAGCUGGAGCUGACAGAGGGAGCUCAUUGCACUCUCCCCGGGUGGGAUUUGAACCUGGCAGCCUUCAGGUCAGCAACCCAACCUUCAAGUUACAAGGCUUUAAUCCACUAUGCCAUUGGGGUUCCAUUAUUUAUUUAUUUAUUUACAUCAUUUUUACCCCGCCUUUCUCCUCGGGGGACUCAAGGAGGCUUACAACAAAUAGGCAAAAAUUCAAUGCCUAAAGACAGUGUACAAAACAAUCUAUACAUAUAAAAGGGUAAUGAAAUUUCGGCCUAGGACAAAACAACAAAACUACACAUCCCAGAAACACUAAACUUGGCAGCACAACCCCUCACCCAUGCCUCUACGUUCAUACAACAAAAAG